rnacentral:tRNA from 1 species
GGAGCUUUGGCCGAGUGGCUUAAGGCGCACGCUUGGAAAGCGUGUGUAGGUUAAUCCCUACCGAGAGUUCGAAUCUCUCAGGCUCCGCCA